GACUAGACUCCCUUCCUGAUUGUGCAGAGGGCUGUUGUCUGGGAUGGUGAUCUGUUCUCCCACAGUUGGGGAUGUCCAUUCCUUGUAUGUCUAAGCUGGAGGCCUGGCCAAUGGCAACUGGAGAAACUCACUGAUCUCAAGACAUGUCAAACUGUCAACCACUGCUCUGUUUCCAUGCCUCCCUGCCAUGAUGUCAUGGACCCCUGAAACUGUAACCAAGCCCUCAGUAAGAAGCCUGAUGAAGACAAAAGUGAAGGUGUUGGGUUAGAAGCACCCUCAGCAACCCCUGUGCUUCAGGAAGAAAAUGCUUUGUCAAUGGCUAAAGCUGGAAAAAGUAAA